GACAGAGGUGCCGAGCGUUAGGCGGAAUCACUGGGCUUAAAGCGUGUGUAGGCGGGGCCGUAAGGAACUUGUGAAAUCCCACGGCUCAACCGUGGAACUGCUUGGUAUACUGCGGGUCUUGAGCCACCUAGGGGCAAGCGGAACAAGCGGUGGAGCGGUGAAAUGCGUAGAUAUCGCUUGGAACGCCAAUGGUGAAAACAGCUUGCUGGGGGUGUGCUGACGCUGAGGCACGAAAGCCAGGGGAGCGAACGGG
rnacentral:rRNA from 1 species